AUUUCAUUGGAUUUAUUUGUAAUAAAAAUUUCUGAAUAAUCUUUAGAGAUGAGUUAAAUAAACUAAUAUUCCAAAUAUAUUUUCUUUAAUUUUGCAGCAUCAAUAUAAUUCCAGGGAUCUCCAAAUAGUCUUUGCAACCUGUCAAAAUAUUUCCUAAUGCCUAUCUAUGGGUUUUAUGUUGAGAUGUUUUUCAUUAUUCUUGCUUUAAAACAAUGAUAUGUCUAUAUUCAAAUAGUUCUUCUUUGGUAACCAUAUACCUCAAUCAAUCUCAAAAAGAUUUCACUAAAGAACUGUGGGAGCAGAAACACAGAAGAGAAACAUGAUUUAUCACUUGUUUAUAAGAAUAUAGGAUAUGGGGUUUGGGGUUUAAAAGACUGGUACAAAAAUGAAUAAUAUGGAUAUAGUGCAGAAAGAAAACAAGACUGACAGUUGGUGGGGGAAGGGGCAACUGGGAGUGGCAGUUGGGUUUGUGACUAGCACUUCCUUCCUGCUGGGAGUGGCAGUUGGGUCUUGUGAUUAGCACUAUUCAAUAAAUAUUACAAUAGGUAUUGAGUGAUAAUACAUGCAUAACCCAAUGGAGUUGAUUGUCAGCUCCUGGAGGGGGAAGAGAAGAUGGGAGGGAGAGAAAAUUAAACAUGUAACCUUAGAAAAAUACUUAAAAAUAGAUAAAUAAAUUUUACUAAAUAUUUUACCUAAUGUCAAGUCCUAGGCUAAGGUCUAGUGUUAUGGGGGAAAAGCAGUGCAUGCCCUCAAGAAGUUUACAUUCAAACACAUGGGGAUGGGAGAGACAACAAGUAUAAAAACUGGUCAAAAUAAAAUACAGAGAGGGCAGAUGGAAAGUAGUCUUAAAGGGAAAGCCAUUAGCAGCCAAGGUGACUGGGAAAGACCUCACUGAAGGUAAUGCUUGAGUCAAUUCAAGUGUUGAAAGAAGAGGAUUUAAAGAGAUGGAAGUAAAAAGGAACAAUAUUCCAGACACUAUCUCAGUGCAAAGGCACUGAUAUGAUAGAUGGGACACCAUCUUUCAGGAACAGCUCCAGAAGACCUCUGGACAUUCAGGUUACCUUACUAUCAUGCCCUCUCCAGUGGCUAUUAUUCUCCCUAAGGACUACUGCCCACUCCCUGUCUCCUGUGUUGAGAGAGGAAAUGAAAACUUCACCAAGCAAGGGGGAGAAAAGAUGGUUCAUCUUCAUCCAAAGGAUACAACACAGCCUUCACUGAAGUUAACUAAAUGGAGAGUAUAAGAAGUUGUCAAAGGAAGAGAAGAGAAGGGAAUUUGGAUGUUUUGAUGUUGUAAAAAUAGGCUAGAAAGUUGGAGUUAAGAAAAGUAAGAUGCAAAAUAUUACAUGGAUGGAGGUGGGGAUUGAUGAGUUGAUUACCCCAUCACAUCAAACCUAUUAAUCAGGGAUUACCAUACAUAAAAAUUUACCCACAAGUGUGAAUUUUUUGGCUCAUGGCAAGGAACACAUAUAUCUGUAACAUCAAGAGAGCUCUCAAAAAUAUUUAAAAAUAAAACAAAUAGCAUUAUUAACA
rnacentral:lncRNA from 1 species